UACGUAGGGGGCAAGCGUUGUCCGGAAUUAUUGGGCGUAAAGAGCGUGUAGGCGGCCAGAUAAGUCCGCUGUGAAAUCUCGAGGCUCAACUUCGAGCUGUCGGUGGAAACUAUCUGGCUAGAGUCCGGAAGAGGAGAAUGGAAUUCCCGGUGUAGCGGUGAAAUGCGCAGAUAUCGGGAGGAACACCAGUGGCGAAGGCGGCACUCUGGGCCGGAACUGACGCUGAGGAGCGAAAGCGUGGGGAGCGAACAGG
rnacentral:rRNA from 1 species